rnacentral:rRNA from 1 species
UACGUAGGGUGCGAGCGUUAAUCGGAAUUACUGGGCGUAAAGCGCACGUAGGUGGUUUGUUAAGCCAGCUGUGAAAUCCCCGGGCUCAACCUGGGCACUGCAGUUGGAACUGGCAAGCUAGAGUAGGGUAGAGGGGUGUGGAAUUCCAGGUGUAGCGGUGAAAUGCGUAGAUAUCUGGAGGAACAUCAGUGGCGAAGGCGACACCCUGGACUCAUACUGACACUGAGGUGCGAAAGCGUGGGGAGCAAACAGG